GGUUUUGAGAAUCGGCGCAAUCGGAUAACACUAGCGGAAUUGUUUUUUGCAAUUCAGCUGCUAAUUCUGAAGUAUCCAAAGCCAGGCGUAACUCUGGGUCUGGCCAUGUCUUUGAUCACAAGACGUGGGAUAAUCCUCAAAUGGGUUGUCAUAAAUACUAUCGCAUUUAUGUCGUUGGCACCAGAAGUAGAAGAGGCCGUGUUUUCAGGAACAAUGAUUAUGUUGGCUGUCCUCUACAUUUAUGGAGCCAGCAUCAUUCUUGUACUUCCUGACAUGAUUCGGACACCACUGGAUGAGUGAAGACAAUUCUAGAAGGAUAUGAAACU